UGUCGAGCUGGGUGAGGGUGUCCCGCAGCGCCGGCUCGCGGCCGGCCAGGGCGCGGUUCAGCUCGGCGUUGAUGG
rnacentral:tRNA from 1 species